rnacentral:lncRNA from 1 species
CAGAUAUUGUGAUUAAUCCAUCUUGUACUUUAUUUUGAGAGUUAAUUUCACAUUUUGUGAAGCACUGCUUCAAUUGCUGCUUUUGCUAAGUGGGUCUUUCCUCUCCUACAUCCUGAAUAUUAUAAAGAAGAAGAGUAAUCCAUAAAAUUAAAAGUUAAAGGACAAGGAUGUAUGCACAAUUGUUCUUUUAGGACUCAGUUCAGCCCACAGAUGUCUCCACAGCUGCUCUCUAUUCCAAAGAGGAUUUUUUUUCCUUGGAAGCAGUCAUAUUAUGAGCUGACAAUCUGGAUGAUGACAUGACUUACACAAAAUUAUCGAGUGAAUCUGAUGCUUGGUAAGAGUUAGAUGCCUAAUUUUCUGAUGAAUAGGCCAUCAGUACCACAUUCAUUGUUCAUCAUUAGUUAAACUCAUCAGAGGUUAAAAUUACCAAAGAUCUCUGAUGUUAGAAUCUUUUAAAAAUAGAGAUUUACUGCUUAUUUUUUGGCUGUGUGUGUUUUUCUCUUUGUUUGUUUUUGUGGGAUAUAGUUAAAAAACUUGUGUAGACUAUUUAAGGAAUAGUGAAACAGUUUAUUUCCUUUUGGGAAUUAGUGUAGCAGUGAAGAUCUUUACAAUUAAAAAUCACAGGUAAAGUUAUUUUUUAAAUGUAAAGAAAAAUUUGUAUACCAAUAUUUUUAAGAGUGGGUAUUUUGAAUAUUUCAAUUUAAUUUGUUGGGAUAAAAGUAGACAAACAAGCCAGGCAAAUUAAACUUUAUAGAAAAAUGUUAUGCCUUAACAGUUAAAAGUAGAAUUGAAAUUUGCAAUAAAAACUAUGGGAAUAUUGAGGAUAUUGAAAUACUGGGGAUGAGUUACAAAUGUACUUUCAUUAUCAUGGAUAAUAAAUCAUAGACAUAUGUAUACAAAUGCAGAAAUUCUUGAUUUAGACUAGUCUGAUAUUAUAAAACAUGACUGUAUCUAUAUAGCUGACAGAGCAUGCAUUAAACUUACUGAUGAUUCAUUCAGAAACUAAUAUUUCUAAUAUUUAAGUUACAGAUUUGUUAGUAGACUUAGACCUUUUACAAAAAAUUUAACAUAUUCAUUAAUUUAGAUAUUAUAUAUAGUAUCAUCACAUGCUAAGCAAGCUGUUGAUAUUGCUUCUAUUUUUGUUGUUGUUGUUAACAAACCGUAGUAUCAUUUCAUUUGGUUGAGUUUCCUCAUCUCUAAUGACUUGGUUAUAAAGACCUAUGUAUUUUGAUUAGCAAUUUUGUAUAGUUGAUUUUAAGAUCUAGAGUUCCACUGCUGUUAGUAUAUAAUCUUAUAAA